AACAUAAACUUGAGGAAUAUAAGAAUUUAGGUGUUUCAUUGCAUAAGGUUUCUAUUGGCCUGUUUGUAAAAUGCUUACAACUAUUGUUGACUAUCUGUAAAAUGCUUACAACUUUUGUUGACUAUCUGUAAAAUGCUUACAACUUUUGUUGACUAUCUGUCCAUAACUUUGUUAGGGUUGAAUUCCAAAUCAAGUUAUUUUAAAAGCCUUCCGUGAAUUAUGCUUGGCUAGCUGUACUACAUCACAAUAUUGCUUGCCCUGCUGAAGUACGAACUCUACACAGGAAAGCAGAAGGGCCUGGAGUAGUUGCAGUUGAGUCACUUGACAUAUAUGUGUACAAGUUUGAUCCUAGCCGGUGGGGAGAUUUGGCGUGCUCAGCGGUGUGCCAUUGGAAAAGCUUCAGACUGGCUCUGCUAGAGGUUUUAAUGCUAUGUGCAGACAUGGUCUUUUGACUUUCUAAAUUUGGACAAGUUUUUGUAGGUGAGUGAUUUUUGUGCCCUAUGGCUGGAAGCGUCCUGAUAAUACACAAUGUGCUUAUACAAAUCAUUUGUUAAAAAAGCGCUAAGCUCUUAAGUAGUCGCUUAGGGUUCGCUCAACACUUAAGCAGAUGCUUAGUUAUGCUUUUCUGAACAAUGAUUCAAAUAAACCUUAUAUUUUAUACAUCGUUUUCUCUUUUAUCUGAAGUUUCAUUCAUACAAUAUCUUUUUAUAUGUUGCAAUUGACUUUUGAUAUACAGGAAGUGCAGACCAUUUUGCUUCUUUCAGAUCUCAAUACAGCUAGGAGACAUGUCACUGUCUAUGCUUGCAUAGCUGUGUAUGCAUUACAAAGAAAAUCAUUUUAUGCAUCUUGGCACCUAGCUUAUUGUACCGACUGUCUUUACAUGGUGAAACUUCCGCAGUCACUGAAGUCUUUAUAGUAUAAUUCUUUCAAGUUCAUGUUAUAGUGACGAGCAAAUACUGUAAAAUGCAUGUAUAUCUAGGUUAGAUAUUUUGUUAUCCAUAAAUUUAACUGAGCAUAGAAAGAACAUACUGGAACAGAGCAGUUUUUGUGUAAUACUGUCAUCUUGAAGUGAACUGAAUCUUUAGUGUCAAGGCCUAAUUGUUUGACAUUUAGUUAGUUGCACAUAAUAAUGCAUUUAUGUCUGUUAGGAUACGUAAUUGCGGCCACCUGAACCUUUGCUUCCCUUCUCUCAGUUUAUCUAGCUGCAACUGCUAAUUGGUCACAAAACUGCAAAUUAAUGUGUCAUGCACAACAUAGUUUGAUAAUACCACUGCUGGUGCUUCAUGGUUCAAAAAUUACAUGUGUACACAUUCUGUAAUUUUUCCUUUAUGUCAAAUGCUGAGUUUGUUUUUCGAUUUAGAAAAGUGAUAUAUGCUAUGUUCACAAUUUUAAGUGUUACAAAACCAUUCUAAAAACUUAAAACGGUAUUUUAACUACAAAAGGGCAUCACGCUGUUCCAUGUUGUGGUCUUCCUUGCAGGCAUGUAAAAUUUGAGGCUCGAGGCUUCGUCACAAGAUGUGACCUGUCUGGCUUAGCUUCUUCUCGGGAGAUUGCCAUCAAGAACUGAUAGGUGCAAGUCUCUUUGCGAUCCGGUGCCGCCCUUAUUUAGGUGCCUUUAUGCUCAUCAUGUGCCAGCAUCAACUAGAUGAUGCUUGGCGAACAGAUAGAAUGAUGUAAGUGCGAUAAUGUGGAAGCAAUAAGAACAAAAGACUGAUCCCAGCAGGCAAAAUACAAUUCUAACACUA